GACGUAGGGCGCGAGCGUUGUCCGGAUUUAUUGGGCGUAAAGAGCUCGUAGGCGGCUUGUCGCGUCGACUGUGAAAACCCGCGGCUCAACCGCGGGCCUGCAGCCGAUACGGGCAGGCUAGAGUUCGGUAGGGGAGACUGGAAUUCCUGGUGUAGCGGUGAAAUGCGCAGAUAUCAGGGAGACGACCGGUGGCGAAGGCGGUCUCCUGGGC
rnacentral:rRNA from 1 species